GGCAGGGCCCGGGUUCGGGCAGGGCCCGGGCGUGCGGUGACCACCCCUGCCAGCCUUUUCCACAGGGGGGCCUGCGCUGGGCCCUGGGACCACCGUGAGGUCCCCACCUGAGCCCAGGCAGGGGACAGAGUGAGAGCGGUCCCUGGUAGGGCUGUGUCUGGAAUCCCCACUCCCCACCCUGGUCACAGCCUGGCAGCCAGGGCCAGGGCCCCUCCUGGAGGGGAGGUGCAGGCUGGGCUGGGGAGACCACCCUGGGCUCUGGGGCUGGGCCCCCUUCAGAGCUGUCCCGGAAGGGGGCGGAGCAGUUGCGGGUGAGGCCCCUCUUCAGCCCGUUUGCAAAGGCUUUAGCCCCUUCCCCGGAGCAGAGGGUCCCUGGGCUGCCCGGUGGCCCUCGGCCCUGCGUGAAUGCCCUCUGGUCUUCAGGGCCUUCUCUCUCUGCCCCUGAGGACAGGCCUUCUCUCAUCUGUCUCCUUUCCUGGUGGAUGGUAGGGUGGCUGGGGUGGGGGUCUGUGGUGGUGUCUUGUGCUCGAAGUGUGCCCAGGCAGUGGGGAACUUCCCAGUGUAAGGAGGAGAAAGCCACCGUCCACUGGAUGCCUGAGAGCUCGUCCCCAAAUCCCCCUGCCUGCCGUCCGCAGGGCCUGCAAGGUCCACCGCGGCCGCAGCCUCCAGUCUGUCCUGGUGUCUGGACUCGGGCUGGACCACCUUACAGCUCGUGCCAGCUGUGCCUGCACCACCUUUUAUGGCCCACACCUCCCACGGCAGCGUCAGAGUGUUUGGGUGCAGCAGGCCGCGGAGGGGCACUGAGGUAAUCCGGCCUCAACCAGCAUUCCCAGGACCCGAGGCCCCUCUGACCCUGAGCAGGCUGCAGGCUGCCCCACGGACAGCAUCCUUCAGCACCACAAAGCGCACGGCUGAGCUGUGCAGUGCUAACUGAAGGGAUCCCACGAAUGUCAUGCAACUCAGUUCUCUGCUGGCUCAGGAAGGUCCCACUAACAAGCACUUUGGUGGUCGACACUACCUGUUUGUGAUGUGAGAAUGCCAGUAUUCCAGGAGAACGAGAGCAGAAGCUGCAAAGAUUCUUGUGAUCUGGGCCCAGAAGUCAUAAUACAUUGCUUUGCCGUGUUUCGUUGGUCAAAGCAAGUGACAAGGCCAGCCAGGAUUCAAUGGAGAAGCAGUUUCCAGCUCCCAAUGAGAAGAGUCGCCGCAAAGAUUUUGUGACCCUUUUCCGUCCACCACCACCACCACCAUCACCAUUUCCCAUUCCCAUAACCUUUGUCUAUCCCCACCGCCCUCUCCUGAUUGGAUCAUAGAAAGAUGUAGCCUCUGAUCUUAAAGGUCAGGCUAUGCAGCUGAAGACAUACAUAUUUGUGAUGGGUGGAUAAGGGCGUUGUAAAUCUCUGAACAUGCUCCUCACUGGCACUGAAAAACUCUCCUGAAGGAGAAAGGAUAGGAAUCCUGGGUGACUGCCACCUCCUAUCUUGGAGGCAGGGCUCCGCCUGACAUGGGAGAAGGCUGUGUUCCCCUGUUUGAUAGGUGCAUGUUUACAGGGAAUGUUCUUUGCCUUUUGUUAUUAAUUUUAAUAUUUUACUAGUGAUUGGUAUUAAAUUGUUAUGAUACUAUUGUUUAUUUUUGAGAAGAUAAUGCAUGUUCACUGUGCAAAAUUCAAAAGGCACAAAAGGGUAUAAGGUGAAAGGGCCUCCUGCUGGCCCUUCCUGCAAGGCUGGAGUGGGGGAGAGUGACUUUCCUGUUCACUGGUGCAGCUGUGGCUGGCUUCUACCCACGCUGUCUGGAGACAUCAGUUUCUCACUACAGCUCCCCAUGUGCAAUACAGAGACCUGAUUGCCCCAGGGUGGGAGCUGUGAGAGAGAAAGCUGGCACGAGAGGGUGAGAGAUGGAGAUGGUGGCCCAGCAGGACAGAGGCAAACAACUUUUUUAGGCCAGUCUUUGAAUGACAUCCCAUCCCUUUUGCUGUAAUCUCUGUGUUAGCAGUGAGGCACUACAUCCAGCCUUCACUCAGGUGGAGAAUACCGGGAGGCGGCACCGUUGGGGGCCAUUGUAGAGACUGCCUGGUGUGGGUCUGUUAGCAAUACGUUUUCUGUUUCCACUUGUCUCAACAGCCUUUUAUUUAACCGCCAGUUUUGAAAGAUCGUUCCCUAGGUAAGAAUUCCAACUUAGCAGUUACUUUCUUUUGAUAUUCUGAAGAUGACAUU